AUGAACGCUGGCGGCGUGCCUAAUACAUGCAAGUCGCGCGAACGGACGAGAAGCUUGCUUCUCUGAUGUUAGCGGCGGACGGGUGAGUAACACGUGGAUAACCUACCUAUAAGACUGGGAUAACUUCGGGAAACCGGAGCUAAUACCGGAUAAUAUUUUGAACCGCAUGGUUCAAAAGUGAAAGACGGUCUUGCUGUCACUUAUAGAUGGAUCCGCGCUGCAUUAGCUAGUUGGUAAGGUAACGGCUUACCAAGGCAACGAUGCAUAGCCGACCUGAGAGGGUGUUCGGCCACACUGGAACUGAGACACGGUCCAGACUCCUACGGGAGGCAGCAGUAGGGAAUCUUCCGCAAUGGGCGAAAGCCUGACGGAGCAACGCCGCGUGAGUGAUGAAGGUCUUCGGAUCGUAAAACUCUGUUAUUAGGGAAGAACAUAUGUGUAAGUAACUGUGCACAUCUUGACGGUACCUAAUCAGAAAGCCACGGCUAACUACGUG
rnacentral:rRNA from 1 species